GUUUCUAAGUACUACUUUUGGUUCCGAGAAAACAGCUUUCAGUUACCAAAACAGCUUUCGGCUACAAAACAGCUUUCAGAUACUUUGGAAUUUUCAAAUUGAACCCGGAAAAAGGGAGUGUGAUUUAAGAGAGGCACCAUAUAUUUUGAAAAUUUCCCCUUUCUUUUCUUCCAAUUUUGUGUUGUUCUUGAAGACGUAUUACACAGUCAAAUUUAGUUUUGAGUGUGUUGUAAUGCGUCCUCUUGCUUGUCUUAGAUAGAUACGUUUCAGAGAUCAAAAAGCCAGUCUUUUCUUGGGUUCGUUAAUAAAUUUGCUACUUGUCUGGUUUUGUUCUAAAAAGUGCUUUCUUGUUGUGGGCAGCUCUCUUGUAUGUUUCUUAUUACAUAUUGAGAUUUGAAUUUGCAUAUAUCGUUGCGCCCUUUCUUAAAACGAUAUACUCAUUUUGCUCUCAAUGGUUUUAUAUACGUUAUUGAUUAUACUUAAAAUAUUAUCCUUGAGUUUGAUUGAUAAAAUUAAUUAUGUUUAAAGUAAAUUAAGUAUGAAUAUAUGUCUUUAUUGAAGUUUAAGUGCUGAAAAUAAUGUUUUAUAAAGAGCCUCGUGCGAAUUCGGCACGAAAUUUUACAAGAUUCAUGUAGAGAUGGGAAAUGUUCACGAAUACGAUCACUGUAGUGUUGUACGGAUAAUUUGGCUCUGAUGUUGAAUUUGCUGGCCAACAGAAAGGAGGACAUUACUUACUAGAGAAGGAAACUCCUGUUUUCAAAACCAUUAAAUAUUAAUAAUUUAAGUAAUUGUUUGGUAUUUGAAUUCUAAUAAAAAGGCGUGGGUCACUAGCCUCCCAUCAAAAUGGGUUCCAUGACCUUUGUUUGUUUCAUUUGUAAUAUUUACUACUUUUCACAUGUGUGCUGUGUUAGGUUAAAGCUUCCUAUAUAUAUAUAUGCUUUAGUAGUAUUUU
rnacentral:misc_RNA from 1 species